AGCGAACGCUGGCGGCAGGCCUAACACAUGCAAGUCGAACGAACCCUUCGGGGUUAGUGGCGGACGGGUGAGUAACACGUGGGAACGUGCCUUUAGGUUCGGAAUAACUCAGGGAAACUUGUGCUAAUACCGAACGUGCCCUUCGGGGGAAAGAUUUAUCGCCUUUAGAGCGGCCCGCGUCUGAUUAGCUAGUUGGUGAGGUAAUGGCUCACCAAGGCUACGAUCAGUAGCUGGUCUGAGAGGAUGACCAGCCACAUUGGGACUGAGACACGGCCCAAACUCCUACGGGAGGCAGCAGUGGGGAAUCUUGCGCAAUGGGCGAAAGCCUGACGCAGCCAUGCCGCGUGGAUGAUGAAGGUCUUAGGAUUGUAAAAUCCUUUCACCGGUGAAGAUAAUGACUGUAGCCGGAGAAGAAGCCCCAGCUAACUUCGUGCCAGCCGCCGCUGUAACAC
rnacentral:rRNA from 1 species